CCUACGGGGCGCAGCAGGCGCGAAACUUCCCCAAUGCGCGAAAGCGUGACGGGGGUAAUCCGAGUGCCCGGCUAACGUCCGGCUUUUAGCGGGUCUGAAUAACCCGUUGAAUAAGUGGUGGGUAAAUCCUG
rnacentral:rRNA from 1 species